GACGAACGCUGGCGGCGUGCCUAAUACAUGCAAGUCGAACGCAGUGGGGACGGGUGAGUAACACGUGGGUCACCUCCCAUCAGAGGGGAUAACACUUGGACACAGGUGCUAAACCGAUACUGAUGGAUGGACCCGCGGUGCAUUAGCUAGUUGGUUAGGUAACGGCUCACCAAGGCCCCGAUGCAUAGCCGACCGGGGUGGGGGAUCGGCAACACUGGUACUGAGCCACGGCCCGGAGUCCUAGGGGAGGCAGCAGUAGGGAAUCUUCGGCAAUGGACGAAAGUCUGACCGAGCAACGCCGCGGAAGGGAAGAAGGUUUUCGGAUCGUAAAACUCUGUUGUUAGAGAAGCGGUAUCUAACCAGAAAGCCACGGCUAACUACGUGCCAGCAGCCGCGGUAAUAC
rnacentral:rRNA from 1 species